rnacentral:misc_RNA from 1 species
UGACCCACUUGAGAUUGCAAUGAAAGAGCUCCGAGAGAGGAAGAUACCAUUCACAAUUCGCCGUUACUUGCCUGAUGGAAGUUAUGAAGAUUGGGGAGUUGAUGAAUUGAUUGUUGAGGAUUCAUGGAAGAGACAAGUCGGAGGAACUUGACAGCGGAAGUCCCUCUUUGCUUGUUACUGCAGACUUAUUAGGAAUGUUAUCCGUCGUUUCUGAUUGUCUUACUCUGCUGAAUUGUUGCUGACUUAAUAUUACUAUGAAUAUAUUUUGGAAAACUCAAGUGAUUAGUCGUAUGGGCUGUUUCUUUUAGUACAAGUAUGGGCACCGAGUUUGGUACGCCUUGCAAACGCAACGGAGAUGAUUGCCAGUUGGGUCCUAAGACUCCACAAGUUUGUUAAACACCUUUUAAGCAGUUCUUUUGUUUUAGUAGUUUCUUUCUCAAGUCUUUAGAGAUGCAUUAAUCAGGUUGUUGCUG